UACAUGGCAUGUAUAGUAAUUGUUUCACAAACUAAUAAUGUCCCCCCUCCUCUGCUGUUUCCUCCCCUCACCAUGGGCCAUAGUGAUCUGAGCUGUAUGCUCUAAAAGCUGUGUUGAAGUUCUUACCCCUAAUAUCUGGGAACGUGACCUUAUUCGAAACUAGGAUCUUUGCAGAUAUAAUUAGUUAAGUAUCUAGGGAUGAAGUCAUCCUGGGUUUAGAGUGAGCCCUAAAUUGAAUGAUUGGUAUCUUUAUAAGAGGAGACACAGAAAAAGAGCCACACAAAGAGAGAGAGGCAGAGAUGGGAGUGAUGCAGAUAUGGGCCUAAAAAAGGCCAAGGAUUUCUGGGAGAUAGCAGCACCUCGGAAGAAGCAAGGAAAGUUUCUCCCCGAGAGUUCAGAGAGAAUGUUGCUCUGGUUUGGGGCAUCUGGUCACCAGGACUGUGAAAGAAUAGAUACUUAUUGUUUAUAUCCACCCGGUCUGUUGUGAUUUAUUAUGGUAGCCCCAGGAAACUAAUACAUGGGCCAAUCCUGUAAACCCACCCGUAUCACCAACAAUAUUUUGCUUAAACCAUGCCCCAAAGAUAUGUCAGAGAAACAAGACACUGACAUUAGAGUCAAUGUUUUUCAUAAGUCCCAUUUAAGGUCAAAGCAAAAGUCUCCUAAAUGGCAUGCAGAGGAAAGACCAGAGCUGGUAGGAUUACCAAUAGCUACAACUCUUUUAGAAAAGGAUCUGGAAUUUCCUUGUAAAGCUGAAGAUGUGCUCAGCCUUUGACUGAUAAUGACUGCUGCAAUGGAGAGGAAUGGUUGUACUUGAGGACAAGUGUGGAAACUUAAAAAACAUCAUUAUUCCUAAUAGCCUCAAACUGGAAAAUAUCCAAAUGUCCAUCAACAGGAUAAUGACAAGUGAAAAGCACUGUAUUCUUACAAAUGGCAUGUUAUUCUGCAGUGCAUAUUCAUGAACUACAGUUACAUUCAAAAAACUAAAUGAUUUUUUCAAAAAUUAUGUUAAACCAAAAAAAAAAAGCCAGACAAAAAUAAAGUAUACCUAGUAUAAUUCCAUCUAUAGAAAAUCCUGAAAGUAAUCCUCAAAACUAAAUUGUAUUAUUUGGAGAGGCAUCUCUAGGUAGUAAAAGCAGAGCAAGAAAGUGAUGACAAUAAAAUUUAAGACAGAGGGAAAGUAAGUGGUUAUGAUGGGGAAGAAAUAUACCAGGGUGGAGGGGGACAUAUAAACAUAUCAGUGGCAUUUCUUUUUAUUGAGCUGUGUGGUGGUUUUGUAGAUAUUUAUUUUUCUUUUCUACACCUUCUAUACCUUUAGCCAUUUUACUCCUUAUACAUAUAAAAUAUUUUACAUAUUCUCAAAAAAAGUUUUUGAAAAGGGUUAAGGAUAAAAAAGAAAAGAAUCCAUAGAUGCUUUAGAGGCAUAAAAUGUUCUAAUUCACCCUGAAGAAAUCUGUUUGUUUUCAUAUGGUUCGUUCACAUUAUCUUUCUUACUCUGAUUUCUCAUCUGUCAGCUAAAGUCUCAGUCAAGGCAUUUUCUUCUAAAACCUAAGAUUCUGGGAAAGAAGGGGAAUAUGAAAAAACUCAACAAAUCUUAACGGUUGCCUGGAUGUCAGUCUUGUGAGGAAUGUGGUAUUUAGCUUUGCCACAGACUUGCUCCCUAGUGACUGCCAAGUGAGACUGGUUGGAGAUGAGCAUAGUGUGUAAGAGGCAGGCCAGCUAUCAUGCCACACUUUGCCAUUUCCAAGGGCUUUCCACAUGGUCUCCAUUGAGCUUCACCCAAACCCUUUGAGAAGAUCUUACCGCUUCUCUUUUACCUGAGAGAUUGUUAAGCUGCAGAGAUGUUAAAAGACUUGUCCAAAGUCUCAAGUUCAGGAAAUACCAGGGCUGGGAUUGGAAACUAGGUUUCUUCCAUUCUAAUGUAGUGACUUUUAAUGGGGUUCUGCAGCAGAUGUACCAACAGGAACAUACGCGUGCAUGUGCCUGAGACUUGAUGGUACUGAACUGAUUUGAUGCAGACAUCUCAAACUCAGGCUGUAGAGAUGAAGACUGAAAAGCCAGCAGGCUCCACAGGGCUGUGCAGAAGAUAGACAGGGUUUAAGCUAAUCACCUUGCAUCUGGGGACUUUCAUCUUUUUGAGACCUGUCCUCAUGGCACAGAUAAAAGGCAAAAUUAAUAUUCCUUGUGGUGGUCGGUACUCUUAGCAAAGUCCUCUGUUUACCUUCCAUGUGGUUGAUACUCUAUUCCUCCUAAAUGCUUACAGCCUCCCUGCCAAGCCCCAGUUCUUUACAAACUCAAGGUGGUGAAUUACUUGGUAAAGCAUUUCAGAGAAACAGACAUAGUCAGAUCUCUGUUUGGACUUCAUACUGGAGGAAGUGUGCACACCCUGUUUCAUAUUGCUGUCUUUGAUGCCAACAAAUCGACCAUUUGUGAUACAACUUCUGCCAAGAAAUCCCCCAGGCCCUUGUGUAGUUUCAGCAGAGGAUAUAUGAAAAGACUGAACAAAUAUCAGUGUUUUAUCCUCAUUCCUGUCCUCAAAGCUUCUGCAAACUUAAGCAAGCUAUGUUUCAUGAUAUCCUCAGCACAGCAUGGAAGUCUACCUAAACCAUUCUUGGCACUGAUACUUUCAGUUUAGCCGUUAAGGGGUAAAUAUUUGCAUCUCUUAAAUGCAUUGAUAAAGUAACAGGAAUAAAAUAGAAGCUAAUGUGAAACCCAAACUAAGGUCUCAGAGAGCAUCAAGAGGGAUGGAUGGAUUUCUCUUAUGUUUCACAGUUGAUUCUCCCUUACACACUAUACAUAGCCUAAAACACAGGCCAGUGAGUUACUAAUUGUGUAGAAUGGUAAAGCUUUGUGAAAACCAUUAGAAUUUGGGUGACAGAGAUAAGGCAACGAUGGCAAUGUAAAGCAAAAGCACAUGGUGGCAAAGGUGGUUUAUUAUCUACUGAGCUGCCUGCGAUGGUUUAUCUGGGCAUAAUUCACUCCCUACUCUAACAAGGGUCUGGCCGCCUGGUGGAUAAGUCAAAACUGCUUUCAGGUCACUUCCUUCUCUCCCCAGCCUUCCCUGAGAGUUAUCUCCAUAGUACAAUUACUCACACCCUCAUCAUCUAAGAUCAUCUUUCCGAUACCACCAUGCUUCCAUCUAAAAUGAAGUACAAGAAGAGAAUGAGUUUGGAAUCUUAGUAUAAACCUUUUGAAGAAUUAGGAAGACCUAGAGUUAGAGUUUAUCUUUUAAAUGAGAAAAGCACAUGUACCGCAUAAUAUAUAAAAAGAAGGCAAUUAGUUCCUUUUAAGAAUCUGGUGGAGGGAGUUCCCAUCGUGGCGCAGUGGUUAACGAAUCCGACUAGGAACCAUGAGGUUGCGGGUUCGGUCCCUGCCCUUGCUCAGUGGGUUAACGAUCCGGCGUUGCUGUGAGCUCUGGUGGAGGUUGCAGACGCGGCUCAGAUUCCGCGUUGCUGUGGCUCUGGUGUAGGCCAGUGGCUACAGCUCUGAUUCGACCCCUAGCCUGGGAACCUCCAUAUGCCGCCGGAGCGGCCCAAAGAAAUAGCAAAAAGACAAAAAAAAAAAAAAAAAAAAAAAAAGAAUCUGGUGGAGUUUCAGGAAGGCCUGUGGAGAGAAUGACUGUCACCUUGAGCUAGAAUCCAGCAUGCCUGAGACAUGUGACUCUGGUAGAGUAACAUUCACAUUCCUUUCUCGGUGUUUUGAUUGUACAUCUACCAGCAAAUGAAGUUGCAUCUGAUAUGAAAAUAUCCAAGGAAAUAAAGAGAAGCAAAUCAAUAUGGAUUCUUAGGCUUAAAUCUGCAGCAAAAAGAAUUUAGCUGUUUUCAGAUUUGAAGGAAACUUGGAAUUGCUGGGAAGACUUGGAACUGAUAAACCUCAAUUUCCAAAUCCGUAAAGUGGAGAUAACUGUUUUUUAUUCACUGGGUUGCAGUGAAGCAUUAAUGAGAUCAUAUAAUGCACUUAACCAAAAUAAAUACAUGCAUACAUGCAUACAUGCAUACAUACAUACAUACAUACAUACAUAGAGUACUUAAGAAGAAGUUGAGUAUUUAAUAAUUGCUUAAUAAAAAUAACAAUUAAUGACCAUAUUCACAUUAUUUCCCAGAAAUAUUUAUUUGCAUGUGAAAUUUCAGGUUUUCAGAGUGAAUAAUAGGAAAACUGCUACAGACUAGAAUAUUGUGUUGCAACCUACAAAUCAAAUUUUCUUCUAAUAUGUUAUUUGCUGCUCACAAUUAGCUGUUUCUAUAUUUUCCUAUUUCUGAGGAGGACACCAAGGCCAAUCUCUCUGGAAGUUCAUAAACAAAAUGCAAAGCCGGAACAUUGCCCUGAACUUCUUUUAUUGUGCAGAAUCUAUUGUGCCAAAGACUUUAUCAGAUACACAUAAAAUUAAUUUCACCUAUUUUAAACUAAUAUUCUCUAAACUAUGAUUUUAUAAUUUUGAUCAUGACAAAAUGUUCUUUGAAUUAUAUUCUGACUACUCUGUCUGAGAAGUGCCCUAUUCAAAGAAAGCUCUUUUAUUUUCCUUUUGUGCUCCUUCCUUUUAAAAAUACACAUAUCAGAAGUACAGGAACAUGUCAUUUAUUCAAAGGCACCUCAUGGGAUUUUAAUCAGCUGUUAUCCCAGGGACAGAGACCUUUUUCCAAUCAGAUUAAAUAUAGGUGCAAAGAAUUUAGUGGCUUUUUUCCCCUCAUUUUCAACAAAAGCUUUGUCCAAUUAACUAUGAAAUAGGUUAAUGGUAAUUUAUUACAGAAAAACUCUGUUAUAUCUGUGAAGUUUUGCUCUUUUCAUGGGAAUUGUGUGGUGAUUAAAACGAUUUAAUAGUUUCUUAAAAUAGUAGGUGACACCUCUUCUAGGUAAGGCAGUAAGCUAGCGUUUGCUGACUCUCCAUCCUGUUGGAAUCAUCCGGAGCUUUCAGAAAUGAUUCAUGCCUGAGCCUCACCCCUCAGAGAUGCCAGUUUAAUUGGUCCACCGUGGGGCCUUAACACUGCUAUGAUUAAAGGCUCUCCGUGUGUUUCAAGUCUGCAGCCAAGACUGAGAAUUACUGAGACAUCUCUGUGGUAGAUGAAUAUAAAACACACAUGGUUUACCCUCCCCUCAAGGAGCUUCAGAUUCUACUAAGGAAAAUAUGCUUUUAAAAUUCAUUGAGGAGUUCCUGCUGUGACACAGUGGGAUCAGUGACAUCUCUGGAGUGCUAGGAUGUGGGUUCGAUCCCUCGCCUGGCACAGUGGGUUAUGAAUCCGGAGUUGCCACAGCUGUGGUGUGAGUUGCAGCUGUGGCUUGGAUCUGACCCCUGGCCCAGGAACUCCAGACGCUGCAGAGUGGCCAAAAGAAAAAA
rnacentral:lncRNA from 1 species